rnacentral:rRNA from 1 species
ACGUUGUUCGGAAUUACUGGGGGUAAAGCGUGUGUAGGCGGCCAUUCAAGUCGGAUGUGAAAGCCCCGGGCUCAACCCGGGAAGUGCACCCGAAACUGGAUGGCUUGAGUAUCGGAGAGGUUGGUGGAAUUCUCGGUGUAGAGGUGAAAUUCGUAGAUAUCGAGAGGAACACCGGUGGCGAAGGCGGCCAACUGGACGAAUACUGACGCUGAGACACGAAAGCGUGGGGAGCAAACAGG